rnacentral:rRNA from 1 species
CGAUGAACCACUUMGGUGGGGAUUAGUGGCGAACGGGUGAGUAACACGUGGGCAAUCUGCCCUUCACUCUGGGACAAGCCCUGGAAACGGGGUCUAAUACCGGAUAACACUCCUGCCUGCAUGGGCGGGGGUUAAAAGCUCCGGCGGUGAAGGAUGAGCCCGCGGCCUAUCAKCUUGUUGGUGAGGUAACGGCUCACCAAGGCGACGACGGGUAGCCGGCCUGAGAGGGCGACCGGCCACACUGGGACUGAGACACGGCCCAGACUCCUACGGGAGGCAGCAGUGGGGAAUAUUGCACAAUGGGCGAAAGCCUGAUGCAGCGACGCCGCGUGAGGGAUGACKGCCUUCGGGUUGUAAACCUCUUUCAGCAGGGAAGAAGCGAAAGUGACGGUACCUGCAGAAGAAGCGCCGGCUAACUACGUGCCAGCAGCCGCGGUAAUACGUAGGGCGCAAGCGUUGUCCGGAAUUAUUGGGCGUAAAGAGCUCGUAGGCGGCUUGUCACGUCGGUUGUGAAAGCCCGGGGCUUAACCCCGGGUCUGCAGUCGAUACGGGCAGGCUAGAGUUCGGUAGGGGAGAUCGGAAUUCCUGGUGUAGCGGUGAAAUGCGCAGAUAUCAGGAGGAACACCGGUGGCGAAGGCGGAUCUCUGGGCCGAUACUGACGCUGAGGAGCGAAAGCGUGGGGAGCGAACAGGAUUAGAUACCCUGGUAGUCCACGCCGUAAACGGUGGGCACUAGGUGUGGGCAACAUUCCACGUUGUCCGUGCCGCAGCUAACGCAUUAAGUGCCCCGCCUGGGGGAGUACGGCCGCAAGGCUAAAACUCAAAGGAAUUGACUGGGGCCYGCACAAGCGGCGGGAGC